rnacentral:lncRNA from 1 species
AGUAACUGGCAUUUGGUUAUGGGGUGGCUGUUUUUCUACGUGGACCAAGCAGGGUCCCAGUUCAAGUUUCUGCUGCCUAUCUGAUAAUCUUGAGGUAUUUAUGAAGGACUCCUUUGAAAGUUCUCUACUGAGUUUCCUUAAGGAAUUGGAAUAUUAUUGAACAGCACACUGGAGUUUUUGUCCAGAAGUUUGACUUUAGAAGAUAAGAAAUAACUGAGCGUAUUACAAGCAGGAGUUAGAGGAAGAGACUCAGUACAGAAGAGACAGGAACAAAAGUUCACCUCCAUUCAAUGGGAAAGGAUACAGAUCAAGAGUUCAGGAAAAGUAGGAGAAAGAAGCUCUAUUCCAGAAGCAGUCUGGAGCACAAAGAAUCCCUAAUCACUGACAUUAAGAAAGAAGAAAAAUAUUCCUAGGACGAUCCUGGAGAGCAAAGGUCAUCAGCAGUCACUUGACUUUCCUUGGAUUUCUCAACUGCAGUAGUCACA